GGCGCAUGUCACAUAGUUCAUCUGUGUGGUGUGUUCUAAUUCUGGUUAAGGAAGGCUGCUGCCAGCAAUCCAGUCUUGGCAAGUGGCUGUAUCAAGCUUCAGUACUUAGGAAAUCCUGGCUUCCCAGAAUGAUUCAAAAAAACUGAAGGACUUCAUGAAGCUGAGCUCAUCUACGAUGAAUAAACAUCUGCCAGCUGGGGUUGUUCUCAGUCAAGAACAAAUCAUAGAAGCUCCUGAAGA